UACGUAGGGGGCAAGCGUUGUCCGGAGUUACUGGGCGUAAAGCGCACGCAGGCGGUUCGCCAAGUUUGGAGUGACAGUUGUCGGCUCAACCGACAAAGGACUUCAAAAACUGGUGAACUUGAGGACGAGAGAGGAACAUGGAACUCCAGGUGUAGUAGUGAAAUGCGUAGAUAUCUGGAAGAACACCAAUGGCGAAGGCAAUGUUCUGGCUCGUUUCUGACGCUCAGGUGCGAAAGCCAGGGGAGCGAACGGG
rnacentral:rRNA from 1 species